rnacentral:rRNA from 1 species
GGAAUCGUUUUGAAAUCUUCAACUGGAGGAAGGUGGGGAUGACGUCAAAUCAUCAUGCCCCUUAUGACCUGGGCUACACACGUGCUACAAUGGACAGAACAAAGGGCAGCGAAACCGCGAGGUUAAGCCAAUCCCACAAAUCUGUUCUCAGUUCGGAUCGCAGUCUGCAACUCGACUGCGUGAAGCUGGAAUCGCUAGUAAUCGCGGAUCAGCAUGCCGCGGUGAAUACGUUCCCGGGCCUUGUACACACCGCCCGUCACACCACGAGAGUUUGUAACACCCGAAGUCGGUGAGGUAACCUUUUAGGGAGCCAGCCGCCGAAGGUGGGACAGAUGAUUGGGGUGAAGUCGUAA